CACGUAGGGCGCAAGCGUUGUCCGGAAUCAUUGGGCGUAAAGAGCGUGUAGGCGGCUCGGUAAGUCCGCUGUGAAAGUCCAGGGCUCAACCCUGGAAGGCCGGUGGAAACUGCCGGGCUAGAGUCCGGAAGAGGCGAGUGGAAUUCCCGGUGUAGCGGUGAAAUGCGCAGAUAUCGGGAGGAACACCAAUGGCGAAGGCAGCUCGCUGGGACGGUACUGACGCUGAGACGCGAAAGCGUGGGGAGCAAACAGG
rnacentral:rRNA from 1 species